rnacentral:lncRNA from 1 species
CUGGCGAUCUUACCCGACGACAUGGAAAACGUUCAACUAAAUUUCACAGUGGGGUCAUGAGAUUCAAUGCUUCUUUGUACUUACAGCGUUGUCCGAUCAUCUCAAGGAGCUUGCCGGGAUGCUGCCUUCUGUUCCUUACUUACUUCCUGAAACUACUCAUCUGUUGUCCCUCCAUGUGAAGGAGAUCUUCAGAGAUCUUCAGUCAGUGACCUGGAAGCUAGCAGCUAUUCUUCUUGCUGUAUCAGCUAUUCUUCCUUCAUUAUUUCCUGAGUGAACUGGGUAUGGGUGGAUGGGCCAGCAGGAACGCAUGCUGCAUAGAGCUGUGCACAAUCAACAUGGCAA